rnacentral:lncRNA from 1 species
UUUUGGAAGAUUUAAUAGUUUUUCAUCAGCUGAACGUAAGUUAUAGUUUUGAUUAUCAGUAAAAUGAAAAUUUUCUUGUAAAUAGUUAGGAACCAUACCAUUUAAUGAUUUAAAUACAAGUAUUGCCCUUUGGUAUUGAAUGCGUUUUUCCACAUUUAACCAGUGUAAACUAUUAAACAAUAAACUGGAUGAUGUCAUUAUGUCAGCUUCUACUAUAACCCUAGCAGAUUUCUUUAAUAACUUAUUAAGUU